rnacentral:rRNA from 1 species
AGAGUUUGAGUCCUGGCUCAGGACAACGCUGGCGGCACGCUUAACACAUGCAAAGUCAACGGACUUGAGAGGGCUUGCUCUCUUAAGUUAGUGGCGGACGGGUGAGUAACACGUGAGCAACCUGCCUUUAAGAGUGGGAUAACGGUCGGAAACGACCGCUAAUACCGCAUAACAUACACGAACCGCAUGGUUUGUGUAUCAAAGAUUUAUCGCUUAAAGAUGGGCUCGCGUCUGAUUAGCUUGUUGGUGAGGUAACGGCUCACCAAGGCGACGAUCAGUAGCCGUACUGAGAGGUAGAACGGCCACAUUGGGACUGAGACACGGCCCAGACUCCUACGGGAGGCAGCAGUGGGGAAUAUUGCACAAUGGAGGAAACUCUGAUGCAGCGAUGCCGCGUGAGGGACGAAGGUUUUCGGAUUGUAAACCUCUGUCUUAAGGGACGAUAAUGACGGUACCUUAGGAGGAAGCUCCGGCUAACUACGUG